UCCAAGACCCCAUGAGUGAGCCCAAGCUAGCCUGCUGGAGGAUGGGAGGCUGCAUGAGCCAUGUGAGCUGGCCCGGUGAGGACCAACCUGUCAACUGCCAAAUAGACACCAGGGUGAUUCCUGCGUUGUUCCUUCCCAGGCAGGGUCUUUGCAUCAUUUCGGUCUUCCCUCCCGCCCAGGGCCUGGACCUCAAGAUGUUCUAACCAUGCCUGCAGAGGAAUAGGGAGAAGGAGAAGACCACGUGAGUCAGGAGGCUGCAGGCUCCUCAGCGUCACGUGCUGAAAGCAAAGGAGGCCCAGUCAUUUCUCACAUAUUAAAGUUCCGGGCAGGAAGCUCAUUUGGAGCCUGUGUUUGAGCUGGGAGAAGAGAGGCCGGCACCAAGCCUCCCUGCAAAGGUUUCAUCUCCCUAGCUUGAGCUGGGGUGAGUCACAAGCCAGCCUCCAAGAGCACAAUGCCCAGGCCCAUGGAAGCCACUCCACAGGGGUUUUCAAGUGAAGGUGUUGGGUAUACAGACUUUGGCACCAAAUCUCCUUCCUAAUCCAAUCAGUCACCAAGCAUUGAAUGUCACAUAUCUCCAGGUGCUCCCUGCCUCUCUGCACUGGAUUCCUGGAACCUGCUCCAACUGGUCUCUCUGCCUCUGGGCUUGCUCCUGCACCCUCCUUCCCCAUGUGGACCCCUGAGCCAGCUUCUGGAUAAAGUCUCAACUGCAGAGCAUGGAAUACCCACACGGCCGUUCCCAGCCUGGCUCCGCCACCUUCUCUGGAGGUGGAGUCCUCUACGCUCCAGCUGGACCAAAGUACUACAGUUUCUGGAAUGUUCUGGGUUCUCUCUCACCUCUGAGACUUUGCACAUUUGUGUCCUCUGCCUGAAAUACAGUACAUCUUUUCUCUCUCUCCAUGCAGCCUCUCGGGUGUCAGCAUGGGUCCCAUCCCAGUAAGUACCAGAUACAUGGUUUGCUGGGCCCAGUGCAAAAUUGAAAUAUGGAUCCCUUGUUCAAAACUAAUUGAGAAUUUAAAAAUGGCAACAGCAAAGCAUUAAACCCGACUUGGGGUCCUUCUGAGCUAGGGCCCUUGUGAGUGUACAGGUCGCACGUCUAUGAAGCAGAGGCUGCUCCAGACUGUCACCU